CCGACCUUAGCUCAGUUGGUAGAGCGGAGGACUGUAGUAGAAGCAGAUUAAUCCUUAGGUCACUGGUUCGAAUCCGGUAGGUCGGA
rnacentral:tRNA from 1 species